rnacentral:rRNA from 1 species
GUAACAAGGUCUCCGUUGGUGAACCAGCGGAGGGAUCAUUACCGAGUUAUACAACUCAUCAACCCUGUGAACAUACCUAAAACGUUGCUUCGGCGGGAACAGACGGCCCUGUAACAACGGGCCGCCCCCGCCAGAGGACCCCUAACUCUGUUUUUAUAAUGUUUUUCUGAGUAAACAAGCAAAUAAAUUAAAACUUUCAACAACGGAUCUCUUGGCUCUGGCAUCGAUGAAGAACGCAGCGAAAUGCGAUAAGUAAUGUGAAUUGCAGAAUUCAGUGAAUCAUCGAAUCUUUGAACGCACAUUGCGCCCGCCAGUAUUCUGGCGGGCAUGCCUGUUCGAGCGUCAUUACAACCCUCAGGCCCCCGGGCCUGGCGUUGGGGAUCGGCGGAAGCCCCCUGUGGGCACACGCCGUCCCUCAAAUACAGUGGCGGUCCCGCCGCAGCUUCCAUUGCGUAGUAGCUAACACCUCGCAACUGGAGAGCGGCGCGGCCAUGCCGUAAAACACCCAACUUCUGAAUGUUGACCUCGAAUCAGGUAGGAAUACCCGCUGAACUUAAGCAUAUC